rnacentral:rRNA from 1 species
UACGAAGGGGGCUAGCGUUGCUCGGAAUCACUGGGCGUAAAGCGCACGUAGGCGGAUUGUUAAGUCAGGGGUGAAAUCCUGGAGCUCAACUCCAGAACUGCCUUUGAUACUGACGGUCUUGAGUUCGGGAGAGGUGAGUGGAACUGCGAGUGUAGAGGUGAAAUUCGUAGAUAUUCGCAAGAACACCAGUGGCGAAGGCGGCUCACUGGCCCGGUACUGACGCUGAGGUGCGAAAGCGUGGGGAGCAAACAGG